UUGAGCAGCACCAGAAGCAAUCCAGAAGAUAAGGUUUUUCUGCAACGUCUGAAGAGAUUAAGAUUACAGAAAAUGUGGACAAUUCUGUGCCAGUGUUCCCACCGUUAUCAUACAGCAGAACACUUGUAUUGCAGAUGUGGGAAAGUUCACAGUGGACAAAGGCCUUAGCAGUACGGGGAAUGUUCUGUUGCUGUUCGACCUAACAGCUCACCCUGGUAAAUCUGGAAUAGCACCCUUUGUGAGGACACCAGUCAGAAGGGAAACCUCAGCCAUGCACUGAAGGGGAAGCUGGCCUUUGGUACCUGCCAAGGAACCUGCAUUCAAUUGGCAGGUGUGACUGCCUGGAAGCCCUCCAGGAGCCAGGCUCAUCAAAUGGAAGACAUGGACUUGGCAUUUCAGAGAAGUCCUGCUUCUCCCCUGUUCCUUCCUGAGGACUCCCUGGAUCCAGUGAGUAGACUGAGAUCAUAGCUCAUUAGAUGCUAUGGACAGUGCCCAGGACGUCUCAUUCUUGGCCUACAGCUCCCCAAGACCUAGAGAGAAGGUACUGAGUCCCAGAAACGAAUCCACUGCAACAUUGUUGAGAAAUCAACAGCAACAUCUGGCGCCCAAGGUGACUGAGAAAGAGACAGCAUGUCGGACUCGGCGAGGUCCCCCCUGGAUUUCGGCAAGAAGGCCCCUUGGUGUUUUGUGUGCUGUUCGGUUCUGUGAGGGUGAGCACAGAACCCCCUCCUAUGCCCCUCUCCUUGUCCUUGUCCUUGGUCUAAGUGACCCCAGGUUAGGCAAACACCGCCCAGAAGCGUACGUCGCUUCUCGGCUCCUCCUUUUACUUUCAGUUCACCUGGCAAAUUCAUAUAAGGGACUGAUCAUCCCAGAAUUCGGAACCAAGUCAUCUUCCCUCACUCGAGAGAGGUGACGCUCCGGAGACACCGUGUGGGCAUACGGCCUUGACCUAACGAAUCAAGGAAGUCCCCCUCUAAGCACAGGACAUACUUACGAUCUGAUACACCACUAUCUGUUUGUCUGAUGUAGGGAAACCUCCUGCAAAAUGCCAUCAGCCGCCGAGGUGCUAGGAAUUUGUUUUGUUAUGGCAGCAGUGUUGUGCGUGUCUUUCCUUUGGCUAGAGCUGGCAUGCCGUGCUGCUCUUAAGCGCUCAGACAUGGGAAAGAUACCCCCCUCUCAGAAUCUGUGCAGAUUAUCAAAGAUAGUGAAUCUGUGAGUGAUAAGAGCCUGACACUCCAGGUCCCUGUCUCACAGACAACAGUUGAUGACUUAGGGAGAGAGAGCUCCGACAGUGAAAAAAACAAUGUAGCAAACAAGGUAGCAAUGCCUAGUCGGCCACCCCCCACAUACCUGUGGGAUGAACUAAGAGGACCUCUAGACAAUAACUCGUUCGAGGUCAUCCCAUCCGCACCCAUUGAGGAUCCCCACAUUUGUGGCAGUACUCGGACACCCCAAGCUCUUAGGGCAGCAGCUGGACCCCAUCCCACCUGCACAUUUGCUGUUAAUGUAGGAGUGGAUGCAGAAUUCAGGCCAUGGAUUCCAACACCCAUAAAUGACCUUACUAUGCUAAAAAAGGCUUCAAGAGUCAGGUUCUGACUCUCCCUACUUUGAACAAGGACUCACACAAUGGGCAGCAAACCUUCAAACUCAUUUUGACUGGGUUACACUGCUCAAAGCAUGUUUGUCGAGACCAGUUUUUACAGUGGAAAGCCUCCUAUGAGGAAGAGGCUGAAACUGUGGCGAGGACUAAUGCUGCCUAUGGAAUAGCAGUAACCUUGGAUAUGCUUACAAGCCGCGGCACCUACAUAUAUCCUCAAGAACAGGCCCGCAUUGGAGUAGUUGCCUAUUUUGAUCAGGUCAGAGAUUUGGCAAUUAAAGCCUUAAAUAUAAAUCCUCCUGAUUAUAGUCAGCUCUUUAGAAAUCUAGUUCAAGGCCUAGGCGAAUGCUUCCCCGAUUUCUGUGCCAGAGUCUUGGAGGCAGUAGAGAAAAGACUACUGCCUGGCCCCGAUCAAGACAAUUUGGUCAAACAAUUAGCUUGGGAAGGUGCUACCAAAGAGGCAAAAGCAGCAAUCGCCCCAGUCCGUAAUGAAGACAUUUCUAAAUGGAUAGUAGCCACAAAGGCGGUCAACCCUGCUGAUACACCCAUACAGGCCCUGACUGCAGCCAUUAACAAAUUGAGCACAAAGAAGUCUAAUGACCCUCCAGUUUGUUGGGGAUGCCAGGAAAUAGGACACCUUCGGUGAAACUGCCCAAACGCUAAAAGAUGGGGCAAGCCCAAAACGCUGUGUCCCAGAUGUAAAAAAGGCUUUCAUUGGGCAAAAGAUUGCAAGACCAAACCUUUAAACUCCCAGUGGGGCGGCCCUCAGCCCAGCAAGUAAGAGGGAGUCCCACCACCAUUAACUGGUCGAUGCCUAUCUUCAAUCUGAGGCCGAAACUGACCCUAUAUUUAGAUGACAUUGCCUUUGUGGGUUUAAUUGAUACAGGAGCAGAUGUUACUGUCUUAAAAGCUAGGAACGCAAGAAAAAUAUGACAUUGGAAGACAGCAUCUGGACCUGACCUCCAAGGUGUUGGAGGAUUAAAAUUGGCUGAUCAGGUCAUCAUGCCUGUAACAUGGUGAGAUGACAAUGGAGAUACAGGAACCAUCUGUCCACUAAUUGCUGAGGUUUCCAUGACCUUAUGGGGGAGAGAUGUGCUCUCACAAAUGCAAGCGGUCCUUACUACGGAUCACAAAUCACCACAAGCCAGCAGCUUUAAUGGAGAGUCUACAAGUAGGAUUCACCCCAAAUUCUAGAGGCCAAUGCUCACCUCAUACAAAAGCCAAGCCCAAUCCCCAUUGAAUGGGAAAAAACAGGAAACAUCUGGGUAGAGCAGUGGCCAAUAAUACAACCCAAACUUAGCAUCCUUAAAGAACUAGUACAGGAACAAUUGGAGAAGGGACACAUAGAACCCUCCAGUAGCCCUCAUAACACACCCAUUUUUUUGACCCCCCCCCCCCAAAAAAAAAAAAAAACCAGGGAAAAUAUAGGCUUCUACAGGAUUUGAGAGCCAUUAACAAAAAUACAAAAAAGAUGGGAACAUUCCAGGCUGGCAUUCCCCAUCCAGGGUCCAUUCCUAACAGAUACCACAUAGUUACCAUUGAUAUCAAAGAUUGCUUCUUUUCCAUUCCCAUUGUGGAGCAGGAUAAGGCUUACUUUGCCAUUACACUAUGGGGGCCCAAUUUCCAGCUCCCUGCAAAAAGAUUCCAGUGGACAGUACUCUCACAAGGCAUGAAAAAUAGCCCAGCCAUUUGCCAAAGAUAUGUUUCUCAUGCGACCAGCACACUUAAAGAUCAGUGCUUGGUCAUACAUUAUGUGGAUGAUAUCUUACUUGCUAACAAGAAUGCAGCAAUUCUGAAUGCCUGAGACAGUAAGAAAUUUACAAUUCCUGGGUUUAUCUAUUGCCACAGAAAAGGUACAACAUUUUCCUCCCUUUCAAUUCUUGGGUUAUCAAAUCUCCUCCCAUACAUCUCCAAUGGGCCCAAACCUAAAAGUCAAGCGUAAAUACUCAAAUUAAUGAACUUCAGCAACUACAUGGCCAAAUCAAUUGGCUGAAGCCCUUCCUUCCCCUAACACCUGCAGAACUUAGACCGCUAUACAAUUUACUAAGGGAAACAGCCCUUCUUCAAAAAAUCAUUGACACCUGCACCCAAAUCCACUAUAGAAAAGAUUAACACCCAGUUAUCAAAUUUAAAAACCUUUAGAUAUGACCCUCAGGUGCCUCUAUUUGCCAUAACCAUAUCUACCCUCAAGGCCCCCUUAGGAGUUAUUUGGCAACGACACGGACCACUUUUUUGGGUGCACAUAGCCUGGAGCGAUUGUCAUAAAAUAGUAAACAAAGUAGAUGCCAUCCUUAUGAUGGGACUUAAUUUAAGAUAUUAUACCAAUAAGAUAUUUAACACAGAGCCAGACAUAGUGGUCCUACCACUAUCACAAUUAGAACUGGCGACAUUGAUGCAGAGUAGCACGCUCUUUCAAACUUUAAUGAUCAAUUUUCCAGGACAGAUUGACAAUCACUUGCCAGCAGACAGGCUACUCCAGACACUACAAACCUUAGAAAUAAACUAUCCAAAACAUGCUUUCCCUGCUAAUCAACCUAUACCCAUGGCACCAUGUGCAUUUACGGAUGCCAACAAGUCACUCUUUGGAAUAGUGAUCAAAUCUUUAACAGAAAAAGGUAAGAUCAAUGUAGAACCCCAUGGGGGAUCAGUACAGUUGGGAGAAAUAAGAGCAAUAGUCAAGGUUCUACUCCUUAGCCAAGAUGGACCGGUAAAUAUAUUUUCGGACAGCAAAUACUCAGUACAGGUAGCAAAGACGAUCCCUUUUGCAGUCUUUAACCUGACCAAUAAGCCAAUUGACCAGAUGUUCACGACACUUAAAGAGCUAACUGAAAACAGAAAAUACCCAUGGUAUAUCUCACACGUAAGAUCACAUACUGAGUUACCUGGCUUUAUUUUCCGAGGCAACAGAAAAGUUGAUCGUCUUAUCUCCUGCAACACGGCUUCCAUUGGACACUUAGAACAAGCCCAUAUUUUAUACCAAAAAUUUCAUAUGUCAGCAAGCAGCAUAAAAUUGCUUUUCCCAGAGCUAACAAUGAGCCAAUGCAAACACCUAGUGCACUCUUGCAAGAAUUGCGCACCCCUCACCCCCUUAGGCCCACUGCAACAAGCAGGAGUGAACCUGUGAGGCCUUGCUCCUAAUAAGCUCUGGCAAGUGGACGUCACCCACAUUAAUUCCUUUGGUAAACUUACGUUUGUCCAUGUGGUGGGAGAUACUUAUUCAAAGGCUGUAUUUGCAACAGCCCAAUCCGGAGAAAAAGCUAGUAAUGUGAUAAAGGCGGUUAAAUCAGCCAUGCUGGUCCUUGGUGUCCCCUGGACCAUAAAGACUGAUAACGGGCCAGCGUAUACAUCACAGGAAUUUAAUUCCUUCCUGAAAUCUUGGAACAUACAGUCUGCCACAGGUAUCCCAUACAACCCACAGGGACAAUCAUUGAAAGAACUCAUAGGACGAUUAAAGAUCUCUUACAAAGAAACAAUCAUAUGCCCUCAGACCCACAGCUUGCUUUGACUGAGGUCCUUUUCACUAUCAAUUUUCUUACUUUUGAUUCCCAAGGGAUCAGCCCAGCUUAUAAACACUGGGGAUCCUUUCCAUCCCAGACCCCAGCCCCUAUGGUUAGGUGGAAAGACCCCCUGACAGGAGAAUGGAUAGGACCACACCCUCUGCUAACCAAAGGUCGAGGAUAUGCUUGUGUCUUUCCAGAGAAUGCGGAACAGCCCAUUUGGGUACCAGCCGGAAACAUCAAGCCUGCAACUGACAGCCAACCAGAACCAGCUGAACAAGACCGAGACUCCGCCUUGUUAGCAGACGCACCUGCCCUAUCAUCUUACCCUGAGAAACUGCCCAUAGCCAUGCCUGUUACUGUUUUAUACCCCACUAGCUCUGGUCAGCCCCUCAAAUGGCCCACAGCCUGUGUGCGGUCAUGCCAUUCCUGAUAACCAUUAUUCCUCAUUCCUACCCCUAUCUGAGCAAGCAAUCCUGUGGUCUCUCGAUUUGAGCGCUGGUUAGUCAAUGAUGGGUAAGAUCCCCUGGGGGACAACCUAAGACAGGCACAGCUGCGUAUGGAGACCACAUGGAAAUGGGGUCUGUUGGGCACCAAAGAGUAUGUUGUGCCCAGAUUGUUAGAUCCCCACAAAGACCCCCAGAGAGUCGAUCACACUGAACUGCAAAAGCAAGGUUUACUUGGGAGUACAAGCCGCAACAGGGACCCCAUCCAACCAACCGGCACAGCGGAGGAAGGAGUGAUGCCCCGGUCUUUGGGAGAGUUUUUAAAGGAAAAAAAGGGCUACAUCAGCAGGAAGAGUUACAUACAGCAUGGAAGCUUUGGGUACAGGGAGUUACUUUGUUCAGCAAUCUCUACUGUGCUGUCCUUGGUCUACCCAGCUAGCUGUCCCUGGUAAGCUUUGAUAUCUCCAGAAUGCCUGAAUGCCUGCUUUUACAAGGACCCGGGUCUGCUAUGGGAAAUGGAGGCUGCUUUUUUUAUUGUUUAAAAAUGGAGUCACUUUGGUUCUUCAGGUCAACAAUGGUAUGGCCAAGAAUCAUGCCUCCUGUUGGUCAAAAAUAAAUGAAAAGGGGGAAAUGUGGUGGAAUGAGAAGGCCAUGCCAAGGUAGCCACUGGCGAGUGUCAGCUACUCAGGAAUGGCUUUGAAAUCCACCUGGCAACGGAGCCUGCCUGGCAACAGGCUGUGAUUGGUUGGGGCAUAGACCGCCCCUUGACCAGAUUGGCUGGUCUUGGCUAUAUAAGAUGUAGUUCCAGCUGUAAUAAACGAGUCUGCGGGCUGCUCACCUCGAGCCUGCUUUCACCCAACUCCCGGGGUCUGUGUGGUGACUCUGCACCUCUUGCCCCCACCAUGCUGCUCCUCUCAGAAACAAAUCCACUGCAACAUUGUUGAGAAAUCAAUGGCAAUAGCCCCCCUUCUCAUAUUAUUAUUUAGAGUUACAGUGAGAGUGAGAAACAGAAAGGUCUUCCAUCCCCUGUCUCACUCCCCUAAUGGCCGCAAAGCCAGGAGCUUCUUCCAGGUCUCCCACGUAGGUGCAGGGGCCCAAGGACUUGGGCCACCUUUCACUGCCCUCCCAGGCCAUACAGAGAGCUGGAUCAGAAGUGGGGAAGCCGGGAAUCGAGCUGGUGCCCAUAUGGGAUGCUGGCUGGCACUGAAGGCAGAGGAUUAACCUACUGUGCCACAGCAUUGGUCCCUCUUUAAAAAAAAAAAUUAUUUGAAAGGCAGAGUUAGAGAGGAAAGGCAAAGAGAGAGGUCUUCCAUCUGCUGGUUCACUCCCCAAUUGGCCGCAACAGCUGGAGCUGUGCCAAUCCAAAACCAGGAGCCAGGAGCUUCUUCUGAGUCUCCCAUGUGGGUGCAGGGGCCCAAGGACUUGGGCCAUCUUCUACUGCUUUCCCAGGCCAUAGCAGAGAGCUGGAUCGGAAGAGGAGCAGCCAGGACUUGAACCGGCGCCCAUAUAGGAUACUGGCACUGCAGGUGGUGGCUUUACUCGCUAUGCCACAGCGCUGGCCCCUCUCAUAUUAACGAACCAAAAAUACAUUCUUGACAUUCUCACUAAAAUUACUCCUACUGCCAAUCUUCCCUUCCCAGUUGAUGUAGCUUGUAUCCUUGUAGCAGCCAAAAAUCAAGCCUUUGAGUCAUCUCUCUCUCUCCCUUGCCCUUAAAUUAGAAAAUCAAGCAGUCUGCCUAAAAACUAAUCCAGAUUCCAUUUCUUUUACCUCUGCAGUCAUACAUGACUCCAACCACUAUCACAUUCACCUCGGUGAUGCCAGUAGCCUCCUUCCUGGCCUUCCUACUUCCCUCAUCCCAGGCUACAGCCACAGGAAGCCUGAGGAGAUCUGGGUUGGAUCACCUUUCUUUACUCAAACCUUCCAUUGUUACAACCACUUACAGAGUGAAUUCCAACCCUGACUCCUGCCCCACCUGUCCGGUGGAAGAGGCCUUUGUCUUUUAAUUAAACUUUUUUCUGGGGCCUGCGCCAUGGCUCACUUGGUUAAUCCUCCGCCUGUGGCACUGGCAUCCCAUAUGGGUGCCGGUUCUAGUCCUGGUUGCUCUUCUUCCAGUCCAGCUCUCUACUGUGGCCUGGGAGGGCAGUGGAGGAUGGCUCAAGUGCCUGGGCCCUGCACCCGCAUGGGAGACCAGGAGGAAGCACCCAACUCCUGGCUUCGGAUCAGAUUGGCGCAGUGUGCCAGCCAUAGCAGCCAUUUGGGGGGUGAACCAAUGGAAGGAAGACCUUUCUCUCUCUCUGUCAAAUCAUGAAAAGCUUUUUUCUGACGGACAUGAUUAAAGGUGUGAUAGAGGCCUUCCCAAGGUCAGAAGAAAAAGGGAAUGAGAUGGCGUUGUUACCUGCUUGCCUGUGAAUGUUUCCACUGCAGUCCCUAUCUGCUUGUAUGUCAUCAUUUCAGGUUCUGCUUGUUAGUACAAAGCAAUUAGGUUAACGAUGGCCAGCUUAUGGCUCAGUAUGUGUGUAAAAAGUAACAUCACAUCAUCAGUGAUAUACACAUAAAACCAUUCAUCAGGGAAAACACUUCUUUGUUCAGGACUCAUUUUAGAUAAAAAUUUCACCUGGGCCUUAUGCAGACAUAAUAAAAGAGUAGUAGUUCCAGUUAAGAGGCCUGGGGGGACUGGCCCUGUGGCAUAGUGGGUAAAGGUGCUGCCUAGAAUGCCAGCAUCCCAUAUGGGCACAGGUUCGAGUCCCGGCUGCUCCUCUUCCGAUCCGGCUCUCUGCUAUAGCCUGGGAAAGCAGUGGAAGAUGGCCCAAGUCCUUGGGCCCCUGCACCCACAUGGGAGACUCAGAAGCAGCUCCUGGCUCCUGGCCUUGGAUCCACCCAGCUCUGACCAUUGUGAGUGAAUCAGGAGAUCAAAGAUCUCUCUCUCUCUGCCUCUGCCCGCCCUGUAAUUCUGACUUCCAGAUAAAUACAUCUUUAAAAAAAAAAAAAAAAAAAAGAGGCUUUGGUGUCUUGUCUCGAUGCACAAAUCCUCCCACACUUCGUGUUCCCACCUGAAACAGAGGAGACCUGAGGGUCCUUGAACCAGCUCAGCCCACCCCUCCAAGUCCCCACAUAUACUGGUAACUACCAAGGACGACAUUCUACAUCUCAGCCUGCUAUUGCCAGCAAUUUCAUAUGCUCCUCCAUGACGACCUGGAUCACAGCUUUAGUGUCUGUUCAAAAGCCCCCAGGUCCAAGGCAAGAAGAGUGGCGAGAGGUCCAAGAACAUCACUCACCCGGAGCCCUGGGUGGGGUGAAGACCAGCGAUGGCCAUGCCACUCCCCAGGUCAGGCUCCAGAGCCAGUUCUGAGUGAGAACCUAGAGAGAGGGACUGCCCACCCUGGAGCAGAGCUGUGAGCCUGGACAAGCACUGUCUUCUCGGGUUUAGCUAUUAACUCGUCUCUCCCGCAGGAAGCUUUUGGAACCCUCAGGCCGUGUCCCUCUCUGCACAACCUCCCGGGCGCCCAGGGUCUGACACUCGGACUCGCACUCCGCCGUGCAGACACGAGGCCGACUCCGGGUUCCGAAUCUCGGCUCAGUCACUCUUCCAAACCCCGGCACGCGCUGGUCGCUCCCUGGCACGCUUGUCACACUCCCCCGCACCCCCUCCUGGGCUGCAGGGACAGCACCAGGCUCCCCUCAGUCGGAGCUUCGGGAUGAGGGAGAGCCCCGGAGAACGCAACACUUAGCUCAGCCGGGUCCCUCAGCGGCCACAGCCAUCACGCAGCGCGGCGCGGCUCACCCGGGCGACUCCGCUUCUGUGUAGCGCCAACAACGGCUUCGUUGGCUUGUUUUCGGGUUAGGCCUGUUCCGGUCACGGUGCCGAGCAGGAACAGACCCGAGGGAAGCCAAAAUGACCGCCACAAGCAAGAUCCCGGAAGGCCUGGUGCGAGGCGCAUGCGCAGAAACCCCAGCCCCACUUGGUGCGUUGCCUUCUGGGUAAGGCAGUUUCCAGUGCCCUCAUGGCCAUCCUUAGCCUGGAUCUCUGAACACUGGGAGCUGCGGGCCGCUGUGGCUCAGCCAGCAGGUGAGGGAGGUUCUUAACCCUGCUUUAAAAGGCCGCUUCCAGAUCCGGAUCCUUUGGAUCAGUUGCAGCUUAAAUGGAAGGAGCCGUACCAGGUGCUACUGGGCACAACUGCUUCAGUGAAAUAGGAUUAGACUUCUACCGUUGAAGUCUUCACAGGUGAACUCUUUAAAAGACACACUUGGCUAUUCCUGUGAGCCAAUCAGAGGCCUCGAGUACCUCUUUAAAGCAGAAAGAGUAAAUAAAGCCUUCACCUCGUCACAUUGACUGCUGCGCCUUAAGGCAGACAUGCUGCACCUGCCUCUCUUGAUUCUCUCUGGAACUGCUGUUGGCAAUAAACUCCUAAAGGGUUCCUCUAUUAUAAUUCUCUAUGCUCAAGCUAAAUGGGUUUAUAAUCUAUCACCACCAUCUGGUGAUAACGUUCUUUUCAUCUUAAGGGACACUCUACUUAAAAUUGGUCUUGCUCCAGUUUUGCGUAUGCUGAUUAACAGACAUGUUUCAGAACUCGACUUCUGGGAAUAACUGACCAUGCAGGGGACACAGACACUGGCGGUGACAAAUACUGCUCCAGCUCACAAAGUGAAUUUGUUAGGACAGAGGCUUCCAGACCCAAGACAGGCAGGGCAUGCACUACACCCCUCAUAUGCAGGAAGCAGCUACAGAAGAUGUGAUGACUCUAUGCUCUUUGACAUCCCUUAGGAUUAAGGGAAUGGGCACUGGCACUGUGGUGCAGUGGGUCAAGUCACCGCCUGUGGUGCCAGCAUCCCAUAUGGGCGCCGGUUCAAGACCCGGCUGCUCCACUUCCGGUCCAGCUCUCUGCUGUGGCCUGAGAAAACAGUAGAGGAUGACCCAGGUGCUUGGGUCCUGCACCUGUGUGGGAGACCCGGAGGAGGCUCCUGGCUUCAGAUAGGUGCAGCUCCAGCCUUUGCGGCCAAUUAGUGAACCAACGGAUGGAAGACCUCUCUUUCUCUGCCUAUCCUCAUUGUGUAACUCCGACUUUCAUGUGGGUGACAAUUUGAGUCCAGAGCUCCAAUUCAAAUAUAAAAAAAAAAAAUUAAGUGAAUGGAGUCUCUGAGGGAGGAAUGUUGUAGGCAGGCGUAUAGGAUAAAAUUGAUCAGAUCUGUGAGCUGGAAGACCACACCUUCACCAGGCUCCUGUGUGACGAACAUGGUCCUAACUGACCACACCUGUGCGCCCACCGGCCAAUCAGGCUAAUUAACCACGCCCCUCUGGAAGUGGAUUAAAGGCCUGGAACAUGGUGGGCCCGACCCUUCUUUUUGGCCUUUUGCCAUUGCAGCCUGUGUUGCCCAGCACCUCCAGAGCUUGUGGCCUUGGGGCCUUCCUGGUCUGCAUGCUCCUCAUGUGGUUGGCUCCUGGUGCUGGAUAUGACUCCAGAUUUCCUCCCCCCCCUCUUAAAUAGGGCCCUCGCUCUCCAAAGCAUUUCUCCCACUGAAUAAAAAACUUAAAAAAAAAAAAAAAAAAAGCCUCUUCCAGACUUCUGGGGAGUGUCGUCGCCAGGUGAUCACUUAACGUGUUUAGACACGGUUUCCGACUUUGAAGCUCUGGAUGCUCUCAGAGGCUAAAAAGUUCUUCAGAUAGUCCCACAGGGUGCAGAUCCAAAUUAAUCUAUUAUUCCAUGCAGCUAUUCAGAGUUCAUCAAGGAACAGCUGGAGCACAAGAAAAGAAAUUCCUUAUUGCUACCUGACACAUGGUCAGAAGCCACAACAUCAAUUCUGCAAUUCCCUACUACUCAGUUAAGAAUAAAACUGUGGCGCAGCAGGUUAAUGCCCUGGCCUGAAGCGCCGGCAUCCCAUGUUCUAGUCUUCUGAUCCAGCUCUCUGCUUUGGACUGGGAAAGUCCUUGGGCCCCUGAACCCACAUGGGAGACCUGGAAGAAGCUCCUGGUUUUGGAUCGGCACAACUCCAGCCAUUGCAGCCAAUUGGGGAGUGAACCAUCAGAUGGAAGACCUCUCUCUCUCUCUCUCCUCUGUGUAACUCUGACUUGCAAAUAAAUAAAUCUUAAAAAAAAAAAUGUUGCUAGUCAGGGUCACAAGCUGGAGAGGAAGUGAUAUUUAAGCCACCCUAAAACACAGGGUAAGGGAGCCUCUCUUUUGUGGGAACAGGUUCCUGCCACAGCACCCUCACUGAGGACACACCCUGCUGGACACAGGAUGUGGCCACAGAACUUUUUAAGAAUAAUUGGCCGGCGCCACAGCUCAAUAGACUAAUCUGCCUGCAGUGCUGGCACACGGGGUUCUAGUCCUGGUCGGGGUGCCGGAUUCUGUCCUGGUAGCCCCACUUCCAGGCCAGCUCUCUGCUGUGGCUCGGGAGUGCAGUGGAGGAUGGCCCAAGUGCUUGGGCCCUGCACCUGUAUGGGAAACCAGGAGAAGCACCUGGCUCCUGCCUUCGGAUCAGUGCGGUGCAUUGGCCGCGGUGGCCACUGGAGGGUGAACCAACGGCAAAAGGAAGACCUUUCUCUCUCUCUCUCUCUCUCACUGUCCACUGUCAAAAAAAAAGGGGGGGGGAUAAUACAUGACCUAUUUUUAAUAUAUAUAUAUAUUUGUGUACAUAUCUGCCAAUAUUGAGCAAAUAUCUAAGUGUUCUCCUGGUUUUUUUUUAAUUAAUUAAUUGAUUUAUUUAAAAGGCAAAGUUAGAGAGCGACAGUAUCUUCCAUCCACUGGUUCCCUCCCCAAAUGGCUUCAAUGGAUGAAGCUGUGCUGAUCUGAAGCCAGGAUCCAGGAGCUUCUUCUGGGUCUCCCACGUGGGUGCAGGGACCCAAGGAUUUGGGCCAUCUUUCACUGCUUUUUCAAGCCAUAGCAGAGAGUGGAUCAGAAGUGGAGCAGCCGGGACUCGAACUGGCACCCCUAUGGGAUGCCAGCACUGCAGGUGGUGGCUUUACUCGCUACAUCACAGCGCCAGCCCCAGUAAGCCACCUAUUAACAAGAGGAGCACUGAAUUCCCACGGGAACGUUGGCUCCCAAGAGGACAUGCAGCUGCUUUCCCAGACUUGCUUAUCUAAUAGGUCUUGCUAAACCUGUUUCAAAGAAACCUUAGCUAUCAGAGCACGUGCAUGCGCUGUACAAAUGGCUGAUGUGAUCCAUCAAUAAAGAAACACGCGGGGAUUGUCCCGCGGUGCUUUGCAGAGGAAGCGCUCCCAUGUCCUGCCUCUCCUUUCACGUGACCCCAACACUCCUCAUGUGCUCCGAGACUGUGACCAACUCAUCGAGCAACACUGUUUAUUCGCUUAAUAUUUCCUGCUCAAUAUUAAAGACUAAUUUCCUUAUGCCAUGCAUCAACACAAUUAUGUUUGUUCCUAACAGCAGCAAAGAUGGCAGGGAGAAGCGGAAAGGGUACACUUCCCUGCUGAGUGGCCAAGGAGGAUUAUUCGUGUAAAUGCAUCAAGUAAAUUUCACCUAUGACAUUCAGCAAAGUCCAUGUAUCAUAGGCGUACAACUUCUACAAACAAAACGGUAUUUCCCAAGAUCCAAUGAAUUUCUCUAACCAGCAUCUAAAUCAGGAAAUGGAAUAGUUAUUGGAUUCCCAGCAACCCUAGCAUCCACCUUUUUAACCCAUUAACUCCCCAAGAGAAUCUCCAUAUUCUGACUUCUAGCAUCCUGUCUCAUAACUCACUUUUGCCUAUUUUAACAUAAUACUCAUUUAUGUACAUCUUUUCUUCUCCUCCCACCUAGUAGAAAUUCCUCACGAAAUUGGAGUAUAUAGCCACAUGAAUAAAUAAGCCAUGACUCCUAAGGAUAAGAUUACAAAACUUUUUUCUUGAUUAUAAAAAGAUACUAUGUAAUUCUUUAGAUACAGGUUUUUGGUAUAAAAAUGGUCUAUAUGAAUUAAGAUAUCACAGCUUUUUGUAUUAAAAUAUAAAUAACAUGAAAUUAACCAUUCUUAGUGGCAUUAAGUACAGUUACAAUGUUGUAAAACUGUCACCACCAUAAAUCUCUUUUGUUUUCAUAAACUGAAAGUGAGAAUGCAUUAAACAAUAACUUCCUAUUUCUCUUUUGCCCCCACUACUAGAAAACAUUACUUUACACACUGUCUCCAUGGAUUUGCCUAUUCUAGAUACCUAACAAUAAGUGGAAUCAUACAAUACUUGUUUUUAAAAAAAAUAUUUUAUUUAUUUGAAAGACAGCGUUAAAGGAAGAUACAGAGAGAAAGGCCCUCCAUCCAUUGAUUCACUCCCCAAAUGGCUGCAACACCAAGAGCUGAGACAACCUGCUGCCAGGAGCUAAGAGCUGCUUCUGGGUCUCCCACGCGGGUGCAGGGGCCCAAGCACUUGGGCCAUCUUGUACUGCUCUCCCAGGCCACAGCAAAGAGCUGGAUCAGAAGAGGAGCAGCCAGGACACAAACUGGCACCCAUAAGGGAUGCUGGAACCGCAGGCAGAGCCUUAGCCCACUGUGCCACAGCACAACACAGAUAUUUUGUUUAUCCAUUCAUCUUUCAAUGAACACUUGAGCUACUUCCACCUUUUAGCUCUAGUGAAUAAUGCUACUAUGGACAUGGUGGACAAACAUCUGUUCCAGUCUCUACAAAGUUGUUGGAGAUUUUUGCAGCAAGCCAAAUGAUAAAUCAGGUGGAAUCUCAAAUAGGACUCAGCAAAAGCUUCAAAAUAUUUGCCUUUUAUAAACAAAAAAGUGGUACACAGAGAUACAAAUCAAUAUCAAUACUCUAUUAGCAUGGGAUUUAAUAGACAUUUGUUUCUAUCUUGAAAUUUUUAUCUGUAAUAUACCUACUGCUCUGUUAAUUUUCAGUCUUGUUAAAAUUAAUCUAGUAAGCAAGCCCCCACAAAUACCACACAAUAAAUAUAUAUAAAAUGUAUGAAUUUUUAUUAAAGAUUAGAAACAGUGAUUAAGGAGUGUGAUGAUUCUGAACUCAUUUAUUUUAUUUUUUAAAGAUUUUGUUUACUUGAAAGAGUUACAGAGAGGCAGAGGCAAAGAGAGAUCUUCCAUCUGCUGGUUCUCUCCCCACAUGGCUGCAAUGAACAGAGCUGCACCAAUUCAAUGCCAGGAGCCAGAAGCCAGGAUUUUCUUCCAGGUCUCCCACACGGGUCCAGGAGCUCAAGAACUCGGGCCAGCUUCUACUGCUUUCCCAGCCACAGCAGAGAGCUGGAUCGGAAGUGGAGCUGCUGGGACUAGAACUGGUGCCCAGCUACAGUGCUGGCCCCUGAACUCAAGUUUAAAGUCCCAUAAAUAAUAUAUAUAUACACAGGGACUCAAAUUAAUAUAUAAGCAUUUCAAGAAAUGGAUUAUACAUUUCCAGGGUUUAUAUAGAUACAAUAUAAAGAACUUGCAAAAAAUACUCAGGAAUUUCAGGUAAUAAACUAUUAAAUGAAAAUCAGUAGGGGCCGGUGCUGUGGCAUAGUAGGUAAAGUUGCCACCUGGAGUGCCAGCAUCCCAUAUGGGCACCAGCUGACUCCUGGCUACUCUCCUUCUGACCUAGCUCUCUGCCGUGUCCUGGGAAAGCAGUAGAAGACGGCCCAAGUGCUUGGGCCCCUGCACCCACAUAGGGACCUGGAAGAAACUCCAGGCUCCUGGCUUCUGAUAGGCCCAGCUCCAGCUGUUGCAGCCAUUUGGGGAGUGAAGUAGUGGAUGGAAGACCUCUCUCUCUCUCUCUCUGCUUCUGCCUCUGUAACUCUGCCUUUCAAAUAAAUAAAUAAAUCUUAAAAAGAAAAAUAAAAUCAAUAUAAACCAAAUCAUCAAUUUAUUGAAGAAAUAGAUUGUAAAUUUUGAAAAGGCAGCUUUCUGGGCCAGCACCAUGGCUUACAAGGUUAAUCCUCCGCCUGUGGUGCCGGCAUCCCAUAUGGGCGCCGGGUUCUUGUCCCGGUUGCUCCUAUUCCAGUCCAGCUCUCUGCUGUGGCCUGGGAAGGCAGGGGAGGACGGCCCAGGUGCUUGGGCCCCUGCACCUGCAUGGGAAACCAGGAGGAAGCACCUGGCUCCUGGCUUCGGAUUGGUGCAGUGUCGGCCGUAGUGGCCAUUUUGGGGGUGAACCAACGGAAGGAAUCCCUUUCUCUCUCUGUCUAACUCUGUUAAAAAAAAAAAGUCAGCUUUCCCUCUAUGGUAUUUAAACUCUUUUGAUCACUUUCAUUUACUUGAAAGCAAUGUGGGGGCAGGUGUUGUGGCACAGUGGGUUAAGCUGCCACUUGGAAUGCCUGCAGCUCACAUAGGUGGAGUGCCUGGUUCCGGCCCCAGCUCCUCUACGCUUCCAUCCAGCUUCCUACUAAUGCAACCUGUAAGGCAGAGAAGGAUGGCCCCAGUACGUGGCUUCCUACCACCUACCUAGAUGACCCAGACUGAGUUCCUAGGUGUGACUUCAGAAUAGCCCAGUCCUGGCUGCUGCAGGCAUUUGCAGAGUGAACCAGUGAACAGAAGAGCUCGUUCUCUGUGUCUCCUGCUCUCUGUAACUCUGUCUUCCAUAAAUAAAUCAAUGAAUCUCUUUUAAAAGGAAAAAAAAAUAAUUGAAAAUAUUUGUAAAUAAGGUAUAUACUUACAGAGUGAACCAGUGGAUGGAAGACCUCUGUGUCUCUACCUCUCUCUCUAUAACUCUGCCUUUCAAAUAAAUACACAAAUCUUAAAAAAAAAAAAGAAUGAAGUCCCAACAUAAACCUGUUGUUUUAGUUUCUACUUGUUAAUGAAAAAGGAACUGUCAAAAAUUCAUUUUAAAUGUGCAAAAGAUAUGAAGACAUUUUUACCAAGUUGACAUAUG